CUUGAAUACAUGUUGAUGGAUACUGUGGAUAAGAACUAUGUCUCAAAGCCAGCUCAGGGCAAUUCACAUUUUCAAAAAAUGAAAUGAAGUAUUUUCAUUGCUUUUUUUCUUUCUCUCUAGCUUUGCAUCUUGAUUGAAGCAAAGACAUCUGUCUUUUCCCAGAUAGCAAGAACUUUGGUUGCUGUGGCAACAUAUUGACUGGGGAAUUUAAAAAUAAAGGUGGCUCAUUUCCAAAUCAUUUUUCCCCCUUCACGAAAAAGCCACACACUGGUAAUAAAUGUGGGAGGUAUGCAGAAAUCAGAAAAUAUUCUACUCAUCAAGAAUGUGGCAAGUUAUAACUACAAAAUGAAAAUAGAAACAGAAUAGAAAUAUCAAGAUAAGGGACAACUAAGAGACUAAGGAAAUAUGACAGGUGAUGUACAAAAUUUUUUGUAUUUAUUUGCUAUACUAGUGCAAAAAUAAAAAUGGUUGUCUCACUCCUACCCUGGUAUAU
rnacentral:lncRNA from 1 species